rnacentral:rRNA from 1 species
AUGUACAUGCCUACAGCGUUAAUGCAUUGGAUCCCAUCAAAACUCCACAAUUAAGUGCGUUUGGGCUAUAGUACUGGAAUGGGUGACCUCCCGGGAAAUCCUAGUGUUUUACAUG